rnacentral:rRNA from 1 species
UGGGGAAUAUUGGACAAUGGGCGCAAGCCUGAUCCAGCAAUGCCGCGUGAGUGAUGAAGGCCUUAGGGUUGUAAAGCUCUUUCGCACGCGACGAUGAUGACGGUAGCGUGAGAAGAAGCCCCGGCUAACUUCGUGCCAGCAGCCGCGGUAAUACGAAGGGGGCUAGCGUUGUUCGGAAUUACUGGGCGUAAAGGGCGCGUAGGCGGCCUGUUUAGUCAGAAGUGAAAGCCCCGGGCUCAACCUGGGAAUAGCUUUUGAUACUGGCAGGCUUGAGUUCCGGAGAGGAUGGUGGAAUUCCCAGUGUAGAGGUGAAAUUCGUAGAUAUUGGGAAGAACACCGGUGGCGAAGGCGGCCAUCUGGACGGACACUGACGCUGAGGCGCGAAAAGCGUGGGGAGCAAACAGGAUUAGAUACCCUGGUAGUCCACGCCGUAAAACGAUGAAUGCUAGACGUCGGGGUGCAUGCACUUCGGUGUCGCCGCUAACGCAUU